rnacentral:rRNA from 1 species
UACGUAGGGGGCGAGCGUUGUCCGGAUUUAUUGGGCGUAAAGAGCGUGUAGGCGGCCAGGUAGGUCUGCUGUGAAAACUCGAGGCUCAACCUCGAGACGUCGGCGGAAACCAUCUGGCUAGAGUCCGGAAGAGGAGAGUGGAAUUCCUGGUGUAGCGGUGAAAUGCGCAGAUAUCGGGAGGAACACCAGUGGCGAAGGCGACUUCCUGGCCUGUUCUUGACGCUGAGGCGCGAAAGCUAGGGGAGCAAACGGG